rnacentral:rRNA from 1 species
UACGUAGGGUCCGAGCGUUGUCCGGAAUUACUGGGCGUAAAGAGCUCGUAGGUGGUUUGUCGCGUUGUUCGUGAAAACUCACAGCUCAACUGUGGGCGUGCGGGCGAUACGGGCAGACUUGAGUACUGCAGGGGAGACUGGAAUUCCUGGUGUAGCGGUGGAAUGCGCAGAUAUCAGGAGGAACACCGGUGGCGAAGGCGGGUCUCUGGGCAGUAACUGACGCUGAGAAGCGAAAGCGUGGGGAGCGAACAGG